rnacentral:tRNA from 1 species
GCCAGCAUGGCAUAGUGGUUUGAAUGUUGGACUAUGACUCUAGAGACCAGGGUUCGAUUCCCCGCUGGGGCA